GACAGAGGUCUCAAGCGUUGUUCGGAUUCAUUGGGCGUAAAGGGUGCGUAGGCGGCGAGGUAAGUCUGGUGUGAAAUCCUGGGGCUCAACCCCAGAAUGGCACUGGAUACUGCCUUGCUAGAGGACUGGAGAGGAGAUUGGAAUUCACGGUGUAGCAGUGAAAUGCGUAGAUAUCGUGAGGAAGACCAGUGGCGAAGGCGAAUCUCUGGACAGAUCCUGACGCUGAGGCACGAAGGCUAGGGGAGCAAACGGG
rnacentral:rRNA from 1 species